UUUGAAGGCGGAUUCUUCUGACGGUUGUUGUGGCGGUAACUGAGUUCGUGUUGCAUCCCGUGGACGUGUACUGAGGUUGGACCAGAAGGCCUGCUGCUCCGCUUGCUAUGAGCCGGAGCCCGCAGUGGCUCACGUUAGCACCUAACUGACGGGAGGUGGCACGAUGAGCCGCAGCGGCUAAAAACACGCAACCCCAGAGGUCAGAGGUCAUGUUUCUCCACAAUGAACCUGGGCCCAAAGCGUGUCAAACUCAGCACAUCCAAACUCGUUCCUGCUGUCGCCAGUGCUGGACCGCUGCAGCUCGCCGCCAAUGAUGCUCUGCUGCAGGAGGAGGAGGAAGGCUACCUGCUGGUGGAGGAAGACACCACUGACUCAAGCCUCAUCAUCACUAUGGAGGACAGCCAGGUGGAGAUGAAGGCCACCAGGAGGAAGACAGCCAGGAGGAAGAAGAGGAAACUCACUGAGGAGGAGGAGCAGAGGGACGGGGCCUCAGAGAGUGAGGAGGAGGCGGGAGUGGAGGUGGAGAUUGACAGACAGCUGGAUCAGUCACUUGAGACAAAGUCCAAACAACACAACUUGACCACUGUGAAUGUCAAAAACAUCAUCCAUGAAGUGAUCACCAAUGAGCAUGUGGUGGCCAUGAUGAAAGCUGCCAUUAAUGAGACUGAGGCUGUCCCUCCAUUUGAGCCCAAAAUGACUCGAUCGAAGCUGAAGGAGGUGGUGGAGAAAGGCGUGGUGAUUCCAACCUGGAACAUCUCGCCCAUCAAGAAAACCAGUGACAUCAUCAAGGCUCCUCAGUUUGUGGAUAUCCCUCUCGCUGAAGAAGAUUCCUCUGAUGAAGAGUACCGUCCCGACGAGGAGGAGGAGGACGAGACGGCUGAAGACACGUUCCAGGAGAGUGACAUGGAGAGCAUGGCUUCUUCUCCUCGAGGGAGUCGACUGGCCCGAGCUGAGGAGGACAGCUGCAGCCCGUGGCAGACUUCUCGAAGCCGCUCCAGACGUUUGAGGGCAGGAACCAUGGGACCACCCCCUCCUCCCAAAGCUCUGCUUCCCAAAGCUGUGACUGACAGCACCUUCCUGGAGAAGCUUCAUGCUGUGGAGGAGGAGCUGGCUGUUUGUUUGGAGCCCUAUCAGCCUCUGACUGAGUCCGAGGACGAGGCCGGUCUCAUGGCGUACCGGACUCGGUCCAAACGUCCUCUCAGGGAUGUCCCGCUGGGCCGGCUGGAGGCAGAGCUUCGAGCUCCUGACAUCACACCUGAUAUGUACGACUCUGGCACCACACACGAGGACAGGGAGUGGACUGAUUGGCUGAGAGGCCUGAUGAGCUCAGACGUAGACAAUGAAGAGGAGUGUGAUGAUGAAGAUGAUCCAGAGUACAACUUCCUGGCUGACAUCGAUGAGCCUGAUGUAGAGGAUUACCGUGAUGACAAGGCUGUCCGCAUCACCAAGAAGGAGGUGAACGAGCUGAUGGAGGAGCUCUUUGAAACGCUGAAAGAGGACCUGGCAGGACAGGAAGUGGAUGAUGAAGGCCAUGAGGAAGAGGAAGAGCCACAGGAGGAAACACAAAUAGUUCAGACUCACAUGCCUGAGGAGCAGCAGGACAGAGAGCGUGCUGAUGAUGAGGCGGAGGAUGAACCAAUCACAGAACUGCGUACGGUGAAGCAGCAGCUGGCAUUAAUAAGGAGGAAACGGCUGACGCAGACAACAUAUGACACGCACACACACACGGAGCUACACACACUGAAGGUGAACACUGAGCAGAGGAAACGCCUGCAACAGCAGCUCCAACAGCACGUCCAGCUCCUGACGCAGGUUCACCUGCUGACCUCACCUGUGCUCAGACUGCACAGCGAAGCGGAGACCUGUCGGCAGUUCCUGUGCGAGCUGGACCUGCUGGCGCAGCGGGCUGAGCUGAUUGGUUCGGUGGCUCUUCCCAGUUUCUGUAGUGCCUUCAGAGCGUCCAACCUGCAGGUGGCACUGCAACUGCUGGAUGAACUGAAUCAAGCGCCCAUCAGCUACCAGCCACAGCUCCGCCCCCAUGAUGCGAGGGGCCGCAUGCGCUGCUUCCCCGUCAUGCCGGCUGAACUCGCCUGGCUCUUCGCCACACGGCCCGUCUUCAUGUAUCCGGAGCUCCUGCCCAGCGCCAGCCUAGACCCGGCGCUGUACUGCCCCCGUAGGACGACGGCUUUCACUGCAGCUGAGGACUGUCUGCUGGUGCUCGGCCUCAGGAACAUGGAGGGGUCAUGUGACCCACCCAAACUGGUGUCUCAGUUCCUGCUGAGGAAGACUCUGGUGCAAGUACGACGAAGGAUCCUGCAGUGCUGCAGACCAGGUUCGCCUGACAACAUUGUCAAGACAUUCCGGUACCAGCGACAGGUGCUCCCGAUGCCGCUGACAUGUCAUCCUGUGGAUCCAGCAGAGCAGCGCCCCCCUGUGGAGAGAGAGGAGAGUGUCAUGCCUCUGUGGCUGCUGCGUUCUCUCCCUGUCAUCUACCCGACCAUCAAGUGCUAUAACAGCUCCACCCCUGAGGUCCCACCCCCCUGCAGGUGGACUGGAGCCCGGCAGAGUCAGCUGACCUUCCUGCGCUCCGCCUCCAGCUCCUACAGCUUCCCCCCUGGCACCCGGUACCCAGCCCGCCUCCCUCAGAAUCUUGACUUCAGACGAAUUGGCUUCAUCUUGCUUAAUCAGGCCCCUCCUCCCACUGACUCUGCCCCCUCCACACCUGCUCCUCCUCAAGUUCUCUUUCACCGCCUCCUCCUGACUAGGAGUGAUGCCCCCACUGACAUCACCACCUCCACUUUCUCCACGACAACCAGAGAGCAAAUUAGACACCACAGUCAAACGCUGGCUGCCCUGAGGAGUAGGGAGAGGGGUCACAGAUGCUCUACAUCUCCUUCCAGUGAAGGUCCCACCUCCCAUCAAGUGAAGGGGGAUGAUGUCAUCAGAACUGAUGAAGAGGAGGAGGAAGAGGGCAACAUUGUCCUGGUUCUGUCUGAAUCUUCACCCAGCACUGCAGGAAGUGAUGACAUACAAGAGGCGGUGUCAGAGAGUAAACAGGAAGUGGUCCAGACACCAUUAAGAACAGCAGAAGAAGAUGGAGGUAGAAAGACCAUUCAUCAGCAGCCAUCAUCAGAGGAAACUGACGAAGAUGAAGAUGAUCAGAGAAGACGGGAAGAUGUGCUGUUUGCUCACGAUUAUCUCUACAGGGUGUGUGAGGCGGUGCAGGUGUGUCCGGGCCUGUGGGAGCAGCUGCUGCAGGUGUUGGAAGAGUUCUCCACGGCAGCGGCCGAUGUCCUAUACGACAGACUGAGCAGCAUCCUGCGGCCGUGGCCUCAGCUGCUCAGAGACUUUGCCGCCUUCCUGAACCAUAGACAAGCUCACCGCUGUGGCCUGGUUUUGGAGCAGCAGCUAUUUGAACGCAGUCGGCGAUUUCUCUGGAAACUGAGGCAGAGACUGGGGGAAAGCUCCGCCCUCUACCAGCAGGUAGUGUCAGUACUGCAAGGAAGCUCUGCCCCCUUACCUGAGGAUACGAACAAGCUCUCGUCUCUGCUCCACCAUCAUCCUGACCUGCAGCAGGAAGUCUGCCAGUUCUACCAGCAGUUUCAUGCCACUGACUCAGCUUCCCAGAGUCGUCCUGACGGGAACCGAGUCGAACCUCAGAGAGGUGCCAACAGAGAGGAAGAGGAGGAGGGGCGGCGAGCGGUUUGUGCCAAAAACAUCACGAUGACGGCCACUGGAGACAAAGUUGUCAUGUGGACUCGCGAGGUGGACCGAGCCAUCCUGACCGCCUGUCAGCAGAGAGGGGCCACCUGGAAAACAUUCAGACAGGUGUCCGCCCACCUAGGGAACAAGACCACCCAGCAGGUCCACCUUCGGUUUCUCGAUCUGAUGAAGCUUUUCCACUCUGCAAAGUCCGGUUCCUGUUCCUUUGAGGCUCAGCCAGUCAGCAGGCAGGAGGCUGCUCCAGACUGACUGCUGGACCAGUCAGAGCCCUGCAUACGGACUGCAGCGUCCAGACUGAUCCAGAUCCACUGCCAUCUGAGUUUGUGGAGUUUAUAUGGACAGAUGGAUGUAGUCCGGCAGGGGGCGCUCACCUGAAUGCCCGUGUCAGAUUGCUGUAAUUCAGAUUUCAUCAGAAUGAGGGUAGAACUCAGAGAAGUCACCUGAUUGGUUCUGGAGGUUCUUAGAGAUAUUUCUAGGAUGUGUUGACAGGAGUUCCUCAGACGGCUCCAUUGGGAGGAUCAAAGCGUUAAAUCUGAGAUCUGAAUGUUUAUACUAAGCAUGCAGACCUCCUCAUCCAGCCUUUGGUUAUGGACUUCAGGUUUAAGGAGAUCCUGAGCUUAAGGUUCUAAGCUCUGGAUCAGAACCUAGACCUGUGGAGGAAAUUUAAGGCAGAAGGUGAUGAAAGGGUUAAUGCGAAGGAUUGUAGCUUUACUGUGAAAGGGUUCAGACACACUUCCUCUUUGUGUUUGAACUCAGAGUCCUUGACCAAUCAGAGCAUAGCUUUAUUUAAGUUAUUUAUCAUUAAUUUAUCUCCUCUAACCUCACAGAGGGAGAGAAGCCUCUGUGGUCACAUGACACAAAGAAGGAAUGUUCUGCUGAAGUAGGGUCACGUGACCACAGUGAUGCACCUGUCUCCACCUGCUGGAACCAGUGGGACCUCCUGUUUUCCCAUAACGCUCUGGAGCGAGGGUGCCUCCUGGCUCUCAUGAUUCCUGUACAAACAUGACGAGAAGCUCAGAAAGAGUGCAGCGACACCGGAAACCACCGGAACUGCAGUAAUCAGACCU